rnacentral:rRNA from 1 species
GACGAACGCUGGCGGCGUGCUUAACACAUGCAAGUCGAACGGUAAGGCCCUUCGGGGUACACGAGUGGCGAACGGGUGAGUAACACGUGGGUGAUCUGCCCUGCACUUCGGGAUAAGCCUGGGAAACUGGGUCUAAUACCGGAUAGGACCACUGCCUGCAUGGGUGGUGGUGGAAAGCUUUUGCGGUGUGGGAUGGGCCCGCGGCCUAUCAGCUUGUUGGUGGGGUGAGGGCCUACAAAGGCGAGGACGGGUAGCCGGCCUGGGAGGGUGACCGGCCACACUGGGACUGAGAUACGGCCCAGACUCCUACGGGAGGCAGCAGUGGGGAAUAUUGCACAAUGGGCGCAAGCCUGAUGCAGCGACGCCGCGUGAGGGAUGACGGCCUUCGGGUUGUAAACCUCUUUCAGCACCGACGAAGCGCAAGUGACGGUAGGUGCAGAAGAAGGACCGGCCAACUACGUGCCAGCAGCCGCCGUAA